rnacentral:rRNA from 1 species
UAAUACGUAGGGUGCAAGCGUUAAUCGGAAUUACUGGGCGUAAAGGGUGCGCAGGCGGUUCUGUAAGUCAGAUGUGAAAUCCCCGGGCUUAACCUGGGAAUUGCGUUUGAAACUACAGAGCUGGAGUGUGGCAGAGGGGGGUGGAAUUCCAUGUGUAGCAGUGAAAUGCGUAGAGAUAUGGAAGAACAUCGAUGGCGAAGGCAACCCCCUGGGUUAACACUGACGCUCAUGCACGAAAGCGUGGGGAGCAAACAGGAUUAGAUACCCUGGUAGUCCACGCCCUAAACUAUGUCAACUAGUUGUUGGGUCUUAAUAGGCUUGGUAACGUAGCUAACGCGUGAAGUUGACCGCCUGGGGAGUACGGUCGCAAGAUUA